rnacentral:piRNA from 1 species
UGAGCAGAAUCAUCUGGUGGUUGCUC